CGCGUGGGAAUGUACCCUUCUCUACGGAAUAGCCUCGGGAAACUGAGAGUAAUACCGUAUACGCCCUUCGGGGGAAAGAUUUAUCGGAGAAGGAUCAGCCCGCGUAAGAUUAGAUAGUUGGUGGGGUAAUGGCCUACCAAGUCUACGAUCUUUAGCUGGUUUUAGAGGAUGAUCAGCAACACUGGGACUGAGACACGGCCCAGACUCCUACGGGAGGCAGCAGUGGGGAAUCUUGGACAAUGGGCGCAAGCCUGAUCCAGCCAUGCCGCGUGUGUGAUGAAGGCCUUAGGGUCGUAAAGCACUUUCGCUAGAGAUGAUAAUGACAGUAUCUAGUAAAGAAGUCCCGGCUAACUCCGUGCCAGCAGCCGCGGUAAUACGGAGGGGACUAGCGUUGUUCGGAAUUACUGGGCGUAAAGCGUACGUAGGCGGAUCAGAAAGUAUGGGGUGAAAUCCCAGGGCUCAACCCUGGAACUGCCUCAUAAACUCCUGGUCUAGAGUUCGAGAGAGGUGAGUGGAAUUCCGAGUGUAGAGGUGAAAUUCGUAGAUAUUCGGAGGAACACCAGUGGCGAAGGCGGCUCACUGGCUCGAUACUGACGCUGAGGUACGAAAGUGUGGGGAGCAAACAGGAUUAGAUACCCUGGUAGUCCACACCGUAAACGAUGAAUGCCAGUCGUCGGGUAGCAUG
rnacentral:rRNA from 1 species